UAAUACAAUACAAUAUAGUACAAUACAGUACAAUACAAGCAUACAGUUUGAAUUAAGGGAAAAAUAAUAUAUAUGGUAAAGAUAGAUAACAGAUGAUAGAGAAAUUUCAGUAAGUGUGCUUUUAAAGGGAUUUUCACAAUAUUCCCCCAGAAUGUUUCAAUUUGAAAAGUCCUACUUCCGAUCUCUCCUCACCCAGAAGCACGCCUGUGGACUUAUGGUUAUCGACCUAUGACAGGAUGGCUCUGGAAACUGAUAACAAGUUUUUAGAAACUUUUAUAGGAGUCUGAUGAGGAAAUCGCAUGUCCGUUUCAUCUAAUGAUAAAGUUUAGAGUUUCACUUUCUGUCUUUUUGUACUUUUUCUAAUAAUUCAUUUUUAUUAGAUUUUAUGAAAGAAUCAGCAGACUAUGCUGGAUUAGAAAUUUAAAAUAUGAAACUGUCCCUUUGCUAUAGGUCGUUUGAGAAGCAAGUCAUAAAAUUAUAUUUGGUUAAGGCUGAUGCUGUGGAUCCUUCCCAUCUCCGUGGUGUACAAAUCCACAGGUUUCAGCCAGCUAUCGUUUUUGCCUUUCCAGGAACUGUGAUUGGCCACCCUCCCUGUGAGAGGACUCAGAAGUGAGCUGAGAGAAAGGAAAGGACCACCCUUCUCUGCUCAGCAGCUGCAACCUGGAACUGUAAGUCAAGUAACAACCUUAGGAAUUCCACAGUCAGUUUUAGGCCAGUAGCUUGCCCAUCUUUACCAAAUGUUCUAAGGUUAUUAUUAACCUUUUUCUGCCUCUUCACGUAGCUCUGCAAAACACAGUGCUGGGUUUCAUUCAAUCCUUCACUGACACCACAAGAGGACUUUUCCCCACGAAUUCUAGGCUAACAGGCAGUGAACGUUGUGAGGAUCCGUUUUGGGGAACUGAAGUGGGGGCUGUGAUUUGCACCCAUCCCCCCUUCUUCUGGUGGCACACAGGUGACUGUGGAUUGGCAUCCCUGCAGGACAGAGCAGGCAUCCAUGGGGACGGGGCAUACCCUGGGAAGGCUGUGAGCCCGCAGGUUGCACCCCUUUCACCUUCCUUCGCUGCAAACCACAAAAUGUACAGCAGGCGAUUUCUCAGAUUUUUGUUUACUUUUGUGGCUCAUUUUCUGAGAAGAGAUAAGGGCUAACUUUCGAAUUCACUUCUGAGAAAAUAGACAAAAGGUAAUUGACCUUAGAGGACAUCUGCCUGUUUGUUGCUCCGCUGGUCUCACGACCAGCCUCGGGACCCCUGGGACCUAUAAUGCACAAAAUCUCUGCUAAUUGCCAGAUGGCCGGGCCGUCUCGCUUGUAGACUGACCCUCUUACUAGCAGCACAUAAAGCCUUUUCUUUUCUUACCUCCAAACCUUUCAACAAGAGGCUUUUGUCAGAAUUCAGUCCAUCUUGCUUCCAGGCAAUGCUCUGACGUGCCCCCCUGCCUGGGAGCUGCAGGGUAGACGUGAAUGUCGAGUUCAAGGUCUUGUCCUCCAGAUGUUGGAAAGAAAACCCGAAGAGAGCUCGGUCAUGGACUCAGCUGCAUGUUCCAAGGACUCGUAGCUCAGCCUGUCUGUCAGGACCCGUGGAAGGGUCUAAGGACCCUUGUAGCCAGUUCUGUUUAAACUGACAUCUGCUGAAGAGGUUGAGGCCAGACAGCUGCCCAGGUUCCUGUUUCUCCGAGAGGAGAAGUAAUCUGCCCAUUUAAAAAUGCCAAUAAAAAUAAAACGUAAAAGGUAACACUUCUUUCCUCUACCUGUAUGGAUGCCAGCAACUUCUCACCUCCCAGCCCUCAGCCAGCUGGGCCUGCGCCAUCACCAUUGCUCACCUGGACUGUUACAACAGCACCUGCGACUGACUCCCCACACAACAAACAGCCCGAGACGUCCUUAGAGAAGAUGAUGAAAUCACCAGAGCCCAGACUACUUAAGUAGCCCACCAGUUGCCAGCAAGCGAUGGAACUGUGACCCAAGCGCACUUCAUUCUGCUUGCAAACCAAGCGACCUGCCAGACUUUGCUCUCACAGUUAAUGGAGAGAGGCCCGUUUGUGCCUGCGGGAGACACGCGGAUCCUGCGGAGCUCUAGGCAGGUAAGAGGCAUAUUAAGAAAGAGAGAUGGUUAGAGUGAAACCCUGCCUUUCCCAGCAGGCAGGGUGAGAGAGGAAAAGGGUGGUUACCUGGACCAUCCCUGCUAUGGAGUGAAGCCUCGUGGUGGCUACUGGACCUCCAUGAGCUCACGUGGCUGCGAAGCUGGCAUCCUGUAAGUGCAUACGAUGAUGGGUAAGCCAGUCGACCCUGCAGGGGCUCUCUGGUGGACAUGGCCCCUGGCACACAUCAGCACAGCUUCUUGGGUUGUAGGACAUUUCAGAGACUGGAGCAAGUAUGCCAUUGCUUUCCCUAAAGCCUUUGCCUUCUCCUUUCCCUUUGUUGCAUUCAUCCCAGUUUGGGGAUGGUGGGACUGGCUGAGUUUUUAGAAACCAUUCCCUGGCCAUUUUUAUUCCCCGGGCCACCAUGUCUACAAAAUCUGAGUACAAUCCUGGAGUCCCGAUUGAACACAACCCUGUCACAGUCUAUAAGCUCCGUUCAGCUCCAUAUUCCUAGUGGGCAUGUCAUGGAUGUGUAGUCAGUAACUAAUGAAAUAGUAUGGAAUUAGUGAGCGAAGCUCAAAAGGUGUAUGUUAGGUUUGAUUGAAUGGAGUUACACUUACAAACAAGAAGACCCGACUCAGAAUUCUCUUGCUGUGAGGGGGUUGUGAUGGUCUUCUGCCACUCCUCUGAAGUCCUGAGUGAUACUACCUAUGCUGACAAAACAGCAAAAAUGUGUUUGUUCUGAAGCAUCUCUCUCACACACACUUCCCUUCAAUGUCCUUCUUAUGAGUUUUAGCGAGCUGUGGAGUGUUGAAUAGUGUAGCAAGCUACUGAGUGACUCCUGAUUUGCUGCCAGAGUGGGUAGACACACGGCCCUAGGGAGCAUGCAUGGGCUUUGGUGUUGUACUACGGCCCCUGCAACCUCUUGGUGAGUAAUUUGGGUGGUUGACUUAACUCUGAGACUCUGUAUCCUCUUCAGCAAAAUGGAACUGAUAACAGCCACUGAAUGGCAGGUGGGAAAAUCAUGAUGCAGUUGUAAUGGGUCACACAUCCAGAGGUUAGGUCAUUGUCCCAUCACUGUGCUCGGUGCUGUAGUGCCCCACUCAUAUUCCUUCUCAGGAUGGAGAAACUCAGUCCUGCCACUGCUGGGCAUGCGGGGUGCUGACAGCUUACAGCUGAGUUCCACGGCCCCCAGGCACUGCCCUCCAGUGGCCUUGCUCAAAGUCAUACCCCUUUUUGUGGGACAAUGUGCAUGGGUUCAAGGCUUGGCCCUCCUUAAUCCAGAGCAGCUCUGAAGGGCCAUCCCAUCUCCAGAAAUGCCUGGUGGAUCAGCUGCCGCUUUGUAGCAGCCGCCUUCACCCAGUGCUGCUUCUCUCGCUCCCUGGCUGAUGGUUGUACACAGAACACUGGCAGAGAUGUUCUGACUUCUACAAGAAAAUCUCCAUUUCAGAGUCCGUUUCCUGGAGUCUUGCCCGUUCCUUUGAAAUUUACUACUUACAGUAGACAGCUUUUCAAAGGUCAAAGUGUUACAUAGAUAAUUAACAUGUGGUGGAAUUGGGAUUCUGAUAAGAAUCCUGUGAUUUCAAGUCCAGGGCUCCUCUUGGCUCUGUCACUCUGUCCUGUACUCAUGAAACAAGGUGGAAGGAGUCACAACACAACAGGCCCAUGUGUUUUAGUUCAAGAAUCACCAUAUUCUGGUGCUGGGCAACUUUUAUCAAGAUGUUGGCCAUCCUUUCAAAAUCACUGCGAUUCCCCCAGUUUUCUUACCUCUGAGCACAGACAGUCUGGGCCUCAGUCAGACACAGUAAGCUUUCUUAAAACUUGAGAUGCAUUAUUUUGUAUUCUUAUU